GACGUAGGGCGCGAGCGUUGUCCGGAUUUAUUGGGCGUAAAGAGCGCGUAGGCGGCCAGAUAAGUCCGGUGUGAAAGUCACAGGCUCAACCUGUGAAUGCCGCUGGAAACUGUCUGGCUAGAGUCCGGAAGGGGCGAGUGGAAUUCCUGGUGUAGCGGUGAAAUGCGCAGAUAUCAGGAGGAACACCAAUGGCGAAGGCAGCUCGCUGGAACGGUACUGACGCUGUGGCGCGAAAGCCGUGGGGAGCAAACAGG
rnacentral:rRNA from 1 species